GAAAACUCUUGCAGUUUUUUCCUUUGAUAUUUAUUAAAAAUAAAAAGUAAACAUUAAGCAAGAAAAUUGUUCAAAUACAUGUUUAGGUGCUCCGUGCACAGAAUAUGGCAUUCCUUUGCCCGGUUUCUCUAUAGAUUUGGUAAGGGGGUGUUGCACCCACAUUGCUCCACCCUUCUCCUUAAACUCAAACCCAACACUCCAACAAUUCAACCCCUCUUGCAAUGUCACUAGCAGCCUCCCAAAUCUUCGAAUUCGCCAUCUAAUCUUCCUAAACUUUAUAUUACUUGGCUCCUUAACAAUAUUUCUGAA
rnacentral:misc_RNA from 1 species